GGCAAUGGCGGCGUGCCUAUACAUGCCAGUCGAACGCACUCUCGUUAGAUUGAAGAAGCUUGCUUCUGAUUGAUAACAUUUGAGUGAGUGGCGGACGGGUGAGUAACACGUGGGUAACCUGCCCUAAAGUGGGGGAUAACAUUUGGAAACAGAUGCUAAUACCGCAUAAAACCUAGCACCGCAUGGUGCAAGGUUGAAAGAUGGUUUCGGCUAUCACUUUAGGAUGGACCCGCGGUGCAUUAGUUAGUUGGUGAGGUAAAGGCUCACCAAGACCGUGAUGCAUAGCCGACCUGAGAGGGUAAUCGGCCACACUGGGACUGAGACACGGCCCAGACUCCUACGGGAGGCAGCAGUAGGGAAUCUUCCACAAUGGACGAAAGUCUGAUGGAGCAACGCCGCGUGAGUGAAGAAGGUUUUCGGAUCGUAAAACUCUGUUGUUGGAGAAGAACGUAUUUGAUAGUAACUGAUCAGGUAGUGACGGUAUCCAACCAGAAAGCCACGGCUAACUACGUGCCAGCAGCCGCGGUAAUACGUAGGUGGCAAGCGUUGUCCGGAUUUAUUGGGCGUAAAGCGAGCGCAGGCGGUUUCUUAAGUCUGAUGUGAAAGCCUUCGGCUCAACCGAAGAAGUGCAUCGGAAACUGGGAAACUUGAGUGCAGAAGAGGACAGUGGAACUCCAUGUGUAGCGGUGAAAUGCGUAGAUAUAUGGAAGAACACCAGUGGCGAAGGCGGCUGUCUGGUCUGUAACUGACGCUGAGGCUCGAAAGCAUGGGUAGCAAACAGGAUUAGAUACCCUGGUAGUCCAUGCCGUAAACGAUGAGUGCUAGGUGUUGGAGGGUUUCCGCCCUUCAGUGCCGCAGCUAACGCAUUAAGCACUCCGCCUGGGGAGUACGACCGCAAGGUUGAAACUCAAAGGAAUUGACGGGGGCCCGCACAAGCGGUGGAGCAUGUGGUUUAAUUCGAAGCAACGCGAAGAACCUUACCAGGUCUUGACAUCCUUUGACCACUCUAGAGAUAGAGCUUUCCCUUCGGGGACAAAGUGACAGGUGG
rnacentral:rRNA from 2 species